AACGAACGCUGGCGGCAUGCCUAACACAUGCAAGUCGAACGAGACCUUCGGGUCUAGUGGCGCACGGGUGCGUAACGCGUGGGAACCUGCCCUUAGGUUCUGAAUAACUCCCCGAAAGGGGUGCUAAUACCGGAUAAUGUCUUCGGACCAAAGAUUUAUCGCCUUUGGAUGGGCCCGCGUUGGAUUAGCUAGUUGGUAGGGUAAAAGCCUACCAAGGCGACGAUCCAUAGCUGGUCUGAGAGGAUGAUCAGCCACACUGGGACUGAGGCACGGCCCAGACUCCUACGGGAGGCAGCAGUGGGGAAUAUUGGACAAUGGGCGAAAGCCUGAUCCAGCAAUGGCGCGUGAGUGAUGAAGGCCUUAGGGUUGUAAAGCUCUUUUAACCGGGAUGAUAAUGACAGUACCGGGAGAAUAAGCUCCGGCUAACUACGUG
rnacentral:rRNA from 1 species